AUACGUAGGGGGCGAGCGUUGUCCGGAAUGAUUGGGCGUAAAGGGCGCGUAGGCGGCCCGGUAAGUCUGGAGUGAAAGUCCUGUUUUUAAGAUGGGAAUUGCUUUGGAUACUGUCGGGCUUGAGUGCAGGAGAGGUAAGUGGAAUUCCCAGUGUAGCGGUGAAAUGCGUAGAGAUUGGGAGGAACACCGGUGGCGAAGGCGACUUACUGGACUGUAACUGACGCUGAGGCGCGAAAGUGUGGGGAGCAAACAGGAUUAGAUACCCUGGUAGUCCACACUGUAAACGAUGAAUGCUAGGUGUAGGGGGUAUCGACCCCUUCUGUGCCGCAGUCAACACAAUAAGCAUUCCGCCUGGGGAGUACGGCCGCAAGGUUGAAACUCAAAUGAAUUGACGGGG
rnacentral:rRNA from 1 species